UGCAAGUCGAACGAUGAACCAGGAGCUUGCUCUUGGGGAUUAGUGGCGAACGGGUGAGUAACACGUGAGUAACCUGCCCUUGACUCUGGGAUAAGCGUUGGAAACGACGUCUAAUACCGGAUACGAGCUUCAGCCGCAUGGCUAGGAGCUGGAAAGAAUUUCGGUCAAGGAUGGACUCGCGGCCUAUCAGCUUGUUGGUGAGGUAAUGGCUCACCAAGGCGACGACGGGUAGCCGGCCUGAGAGGGUGACCGGCCACACUGGAACUGAGACACGGUCCAGACUCCUACGGGAGGCAGCAGUGGGGAAUAUUGCACAAUGGGCGAAAGCCUGAUGCAGCAACGCCGCGUGAGGGACGACGGCCUUCGGGUUGUAAACCUCUUUUAGCAGGGAAGAAGCGAAAGUGACGGUACCUGCAGAAAAAGCACCGGCUAACUACGUGCCAGCAGCCGCGGUAAUACGUAGGGUGCAAGCGUUGUCCGGAAUUAUUGGGCGUAAAGAGCUCGUAGGCGGUUUGUCGCGUCUGCUGUGAAAUCCCGAGGCUCAACCUCGGGUCUGCAGUGGGUACGGGCAGACUAGAGUGCGGUAGGGGAGAUUGGAAUUCCUGGUGUAGCGGUGGAAUGCGCAGAUAUCAGGAGGAACACCGAUGGCGAAGGCAGAUCUCUGGGCCGUAACUGACGCUGAGGAGCGAAAGGGUGGGGAGCAAACAGGCUUAGAUACCCUGGUAGUCCACCCCGUAAACGUUGGGCGCUAGAUGUGGGGACCAUUCCACGGUUUCCGUGUCGUAGCUAACGCAUUAAGCGCCCCGCCUGGGGAGUACGGCCGCAAGGCUAAAACUCAAAGGAAUUGACGGGGGCCCGCACAAGCGGGCGGAGCAUGCGGAUUAAUUCGAUGCAACGCGAAGAACCUUACCAAGGCUUGACAUAUACGAAGAACGGGGCCAGAAAUGGUCAACUCUUUUGGACACUCCGUAAACAGGGUGGGUGCAUGGGUUGUCGUCCAGCUCC
rnacentral:rRNA from 1 species